rnacentral:rRNA from 1 species
CCUACGGGAGGCUGCAGUGGGGAAUAUUGCGCAAUGCUCGUAAGAGUGACGCAGCGACGCCGCGUGAAUGACGAAGGCCUUCGGGUCGUUACGUUCCUUCGACAGGGAAGAAAAUGCCUAUAAGUAACUGUGUAUGUGUUGACGGUACCUGUAUAAGCAGCCCCGGCUAACUCCGUGCCAGCAGCCGCGGUAAUACGGAGGGGGCGUGAGCUGUUCAGAGUGAGUGGGUGUAAAGAGAACGUAGGCGGUGUUGUAAGUCAUUAGUCACAGAGUAGAGCUCAACUUUAGUAAGGCUAGUGAUACUAUAAUACUGAAGUAUCAGAGAGGAUGUCAGA